rnacentral:rRNA from 1 species
UACGUAGGGGGCAAGCGUUGUCCGGAUUUAUUGGGCGUAAAGGGCGCGUAGGCGGUGCCACAAGUCACCUGUGAAAUCUCCGGGCUUAACUCGGAGCCUGCAGGCGAAACUGUGGUGCUGGAGUGUGGGAGAGGUGCGUGGAAUUCCGAGUGUAGAGGUGAAAUUCGUAGAUAUUCGGAGGAACACCAGAAGCGAAGGCGGCGCUCUGGACCGAUACUGACGCUGAGGCGCGAAAGCGUGGGGAGCAAACAGG